rnacentral:rRNA from 1 species
AGCGGCGCACGGGUGAGUAACACGUAGGUCAUCUCCCCUUGAGUGGUGGAUAACCCUCCGAAAGGAGGACUAAUACAGCAUGAGACCACGAUCCCAUUGGGAUUGCGGUCAAAGCAGGCCACUACAUGUAAGCUUGCGCUCAAGGAUGAGCCUGCGGCCCAUCAGCUAGUUGGCGAGGUAACGGCUCACCAAGGCAUAGACGGGUAGCUGGUCUGAGAGGAUGAGCAGCCACACUGGAACUGAAACACGGUCCAGACUCCUACGGGAGGCAGCAGUAGGGAAUCUUGCGCAAUGGACGAAAGUCUGACGCAGCGACGCCGCGUGAGCGAUGAAGGCCUUCGGGUCGUAAAGCUCUGUGGGGAGAGACGAAUAAGGUAUGGCUAACAUCCAUGCCGAUGACGGUAUCUCCUUAGCAAGCACCGGCUAACUCUGUGCCAGCAGCCGCGGUAA